AGAGUUUGAUCCUGGCUCAGAGCGAACGUUAGCGGCGGGCCUAACACAUGCAAGUCGUACGAGAAAGUUCUUCGGAACCGGUAUAGUGGCGCACGGGUGAGUAACACGUAGGUAAUUUACCCUCGGGCGGGGGACAACUUUUCGAAAGAGAAGCUAAUACCGCAUAAGACCACGGCAUCUGCGGAUGCAGUGGGAAAAGAUGGCCUCUUCUUGAAAGCUAUCACCGGAGGAUAAGCCUGCGUCCCAUCAGCUUGUUGGUAAGGUAACGGCUUACCAAGGCGAAGACGGGUAGCUGGUCUGAGAGGAUGAUCAGCCACACUGGUACUGGAACACGGACCAGACUCCCACGGGAGGCAGCAGUGAGGAAUAUUGGGCAAUGGGCGCAAGCCUGACCCAGCCACGCCGCGUGAGUGAUGAAGGCCUUCGGGUUGUAAAGCUCUGUGGGGAAGGAAGAAAAGUCGGGGUAUAAUACACCCCGGCCUUGACGGUACUUCUUUAGCAAGCACCGGCUAUCUCUGUGCCAGCAGCCGCGGUAAUACAGAGGGUGCAAACGUUGCUCGGAAUUACUGGGCGUAAAGGCGUGUAGGCGGCCUUGUAGGUCGGGUGUGAAAGCCCGGGGCUCAACCCCGGAAGGGCAUUCGAAACCACAAGGCUGGAGUAUCGGAGAGGGGGGCGGAAUUCUGGGUGUAGAGGUGAAAUUCGUAGAUAUCCAGAGGAACACCGGUGGCGAAGGCGGCCACCUGGACGAUUACUGACGCUGAGACGCGAAAGUGUGGGGAGCAAACAGGAUUAGAUACCCUGGUAGUCCACACCGUAAACGAUGAGCGCUAGGUGUCGCGGGUAUUGACCCCUGCGGUGCCGUAGCUAACGCAUUAAGCGCUCCGCCUGGGGAGUACGGCCGCAAGGCUAAAACUCAAAGGAAUUGACGGGGGCCCGCACAAGCGGUGGAGCAUGUGGUUUAAUUCGACCCAACGCGCAGAACCUUACCUGGGCUAGAAAAGGCAGGAAUCUGGCAGAAACGCCGGCGUGCUCGCAAGAGAGCUCCUGUCCAGGUGCUGCAUGGCUGUCGUCAGCUCGUGUCGUGAGAUGUUGGGUUAAGUCCCGCAACGAGCGCAACCCCUAUCCUUAGUUGCUAGCAGUUUGGCUGAGCAUUCUAAGGAGACUGCCGGCGUUAAGCCGGAGGAAGGUGGGGAUGACGUCAAGUCCUCAUGGCCCUUAUGUCCGGGGCUACACACGUGCUACAAUGGUCGGUACAAAGUGUUGCGAACCCGCGAGGGGGAGCUAAUCGCAAAAAGCCGGCCUCAGUACGGAUUGCAGUCUGCAACUCGACUGCAUGAAGUCGGAAUCGCUAGUAAUCGCUGAUCAGCAGGCAGCGGUGAAUACGUUCCCGGGCCUUGUACACACCGCCCGUCACACCAUGGGAGUCGAGUGCUCCAGAAGUGGCUGUGCUAACCCGCAAGGGAGGCAGGUCCCCAAGGAGUGCUUGGUAACUGGGGUGAAGUCGUAACAAGGUAACC
rnacentral:rRNA from 1 species